AGGGUUCGAUUCUGGCUCAGGAUGAACGCUAGCGACAGGCUUAACACAUGCAAGUCGAGGGGCAGCAUAAAAGUAGCAAUACUUUGGUGGCGACCGGCGCACGGGUGAGUAACGCGUAUGCAACCUACCUAUCAGAGGGGAAUAACCCGGCGAAAGUCGGACUAAUACCGCAUAAAACAGGGGGCACCGCAUGGUGAUAUUUGCUAAAGAAAUUCGCUGAUAGAUGGGCAUGCGUUCCAUUAGGUAGUUGGUGAGGUAACGGCUCACCAAGCCGACGAUGGAUAGGGGAACUGAGAGGUUGGUCCCCCACACUGGUACUGAGACACGGACCAGACUCCUACGGGAGGCAGCAGUGAGGAAUAUUGGUCAAUGGGCGAGAGCCUGAACCAGCCAAGUCGCGUGGAAAAGGAAGAAGGAUCUAUGGUUCGUAAACUUCUUUUGCAGGGGAAUAAAGUGCAGGACGUGUCCUGUUUUGUAUGUACCCUGAGAAUAAGGAUCGGCUAACUCCGUGCCAGCAGCAGC
rnacentral:rRNA from 1 species